CAGCCGUAAACUAUGCUCGCUAGGUGUCAGGCAUGGCGCGACCGUGUCUGGUGCCGCAGGGAAGCCGUGAAGCGAGCCACCUGGGAAGUACGGCCGCAAGGCUGAAACUUAAAGGAAUUGGCGGGGGGAGCACCACAACAGGUGGAGCCUGCGGUUUAAUUGGACUCAACGCCGGGAAGCUCACCGGAUAAGACAGCGGAAUGAUUGCCGGGCUGAAGACUCUGCAUGACUAGCUGAGAGGAGGUGCAUGGCGUAGACGUCU
rnacentral:rRNA from 1 species